GGGUUAUUGCUUUCGUGUGGUGAGAGCAAGCGACUGAUAAUUGCCAGGUCACUGGUUCGAAUCCAGUACAACGCGCCA
rnacentral:tRNA from 1 species